rnacentral:rRNA from 1 species
UACGUAGGUCCCGAGCGUUGUCCGGAUUUAUUGGGCGUAGAGCGAGCGCAGGUGGUUUAUUAAGUCUGGUGUAAAAGGCAGUGGCUCAACCAUUGUAUGCAUUGGAAACUGGUAGACUUGAGUGCAGAAGAGGAGAGUGGAAUUCCAUGUGUAGCGGUGAAAUGCGUAGAUAUAUGGAGGAACACCGGUGGCGAAAGCGGCUCUCUGGCCUGUAACUGACACUGAGGCUCGAAAGCGUGGGGAGCAAACAGG